rnacentral:rRNA from 1 species
UGACGCAGCGACGCCGCGUGGGGGAUGAAGGUCUUCGGAUUGUAAACCCCUUUCGGCAGGGAAGAUGGAACGGGUAACCGUUCGGACGGUACCUGCAGAAGCAGCCACGGCUAACUUCGUGCCAGCAGCCGCGGUAAUACGAAGGUGGCAAGCGUUGUUCGGAUUUACUGGGCGUACAGUGGAGCGUAVGCGGUUGGGUAAGCCUUUCGUGAAAUCUCCGGGCCUAACCCGGAAAGUGCKGAGGGGACUGCUCGGCUAGAGGAUGGGAGAGGAGCGCGGAAUUCCCGGUGUAGCGGUGAAAUGCGUAGAGAUCGGGAGGAAGGCCGGUGGCGAASGCGGCGCUCUGGAACAUAUCUGACGCUGAGGCUCGAAAGCGUGGGGAGCACACAGGAUUAGAUACCCUGGUAGUCCACGCCUUAAACUAUGAAUACUAAGUGUCGGCGGUUACCGCCGGUGCCGCAGCUAACGCAUUAAGUAUUCCGCCUGGGAAGUACSGCCG